rnacentral:rRNA from 1 species
AUUAGCUAGUUGGUGAGGUAAUGGCUCACCAAGGCGACGAUCCGUAACUGGUCUGAGAGGAUGAUCAGUCACACUGGAACUGAGACACGGUCCAGACUCCUACGGGAGGCAGCAGUGGGGAAUAUUGGACAAUGGGCGAAAGCCUGAUCCAGCCAUGCCGCGUGUGUGAAGAAGGUCUUCGGAUUGUAAAGCACUUUAAGUUGGGAGGAAGGGCAGUAAAUUAAUACUUUGCUGUUUUGACGUUACCGACAGAAUAAGCACCGGCUAACUCUGUGCCAGCAGCCGCGGUAAUACAGAGGGUGCAAGCGUUAAUCGGAAUUACUGGGCGUAAAGCGCGCGUAGGUGGUUUGUUAAGUUGGAUGUGAAAUCCCCGGGCUCAACCUGGGAACUGCAUUCAAAACUGACUGACUAGAGCAUGGUAGAGGGUGGUGGAAUUUCCUGUGUAGCGGUGAAAUGC